rnacentral:rRNA from 1 species
AGAACGAACGCUGGCGGCAUGCCUAACACAUGCAAGUCGAACGUGAUCCAGGCUUCGGCCUGGUGAAAGUGGCAGACGGGUGAGUAACGCGUGGGAACCUGCCCUGUGGUAGGGAAUAACCGUGGGAAACUGCGGCUAAUACCCUAUGAGUCCUUCGGGAGAAAGAUUUAUCGCCAUAGGAGGGGCCCGCGUCGGAUUAGGUAGUUGGUGGGGUAACGGCCUACCAAGCCUUCGAUCCGUAGCUGGUCUGAGAGGAUGAUCAGCCACACUGGGACUGAGAUACGGCCCAGACUCCUACGGGAGGCAGCAGUGGGGAAUAUUGGACAAUGGGGGGCAACCCUGAUCCAGCAAUGCCGCGUGGAUGAUGAAGGCCUUCGGGUUGUAAAGUCCGUUUCGGCGGGGAAGAUGAUGACGGUACCCGCAGAAGAAGCCCCGGCUAACUUCGUGCCAGCAGCCGC